GCCUAGGACCAUUCCACGUUGAAAAUACCGCAUCCCGUCAGAUUUGCGAAGUUAAGCAACGUUGAGCAGGGUGAGUGCAAUGGUUAGAGAUUACAUGGGAAAUCUCGGUUUCGUAUGCU
rnacentral:rRNA from 1 species